UGCGCGUUCCCCAUUCACACCGAGCACAAUGGACUAUGGGCGCGCGCACCACAGUUCCCUGCACCAGCAGCUCGCUGCAGUCGGACGGUUACGUCGUUCGCUUCAGGGAACCCCCACCGCCCCGCGCCUUGAGACCUCCGAUUGGAGCCGUGGGCGCCGCCCAGGCCCCGCUGCAGCCAGAGGAAGGCAGGAUAGGAAAGAACCUUCUGUUGGAUGAAAUAAAAGCAAACACUGGGCCUUCUGCGCUGCCUCCACCUCCACGCCCCUCCCGCGCCUGCCGCCCUCCCGGAUUGCACGGAAAUAGCUUCUCCAGGCUCCUGGGCCGCCCCUUCGCGGUGACUAGCAGAAAGAGCUUCCUGAGCCGGGGCCGGUGGGAAACAAAGGAUGUGGGGAGCUAGCGGAAGGGGCCCACGUGGCUGCCGCCGGAUUCCUGCCCCCUUCCCGGCCUCCGCACGCGGAGCAGGGUCUGGGGCCCGGUGCCAGCCCUGGUUCCGUGGUGGGCGGGUAGGGGAGUAGAAGUCAUUCUGGCCACCGACUGUGAUACUGCCUACACCAGGACAUCCCUGCCAGGUUGUGUGCGUACAUUCGUGCAACGUGAUUUGGGUGAGCAUGAAAUGUGUGCCAGACCCUGCACCAAGAAACCUCCUUGAAAAAGGAAUUUAAACUCUGUCGUUUCUCUUUCUUGAGAGAUCCGGGUCAACUUGGAGUCUCUAGACGUCCGACAUAGAUAACUCUUAUCAGAGAGGCUCUGUACUCACUCCUGCUAAACGCUUAAUUUUCUAAAACCAGCUCGAGCCCCAAGGAUAAAUCCUUUUAAUAUUAAAUCUCCAUACAUUCAACAAACACUAAUUAAGCAUCUACUAAGGGCCAGAUGCCGGGGAUUAGAAGAUGAAAAUGCAAAUAAUUGCUAACAUUAAUAAAUGCUAACAAUAAUUGCUAACA